AUUGAACGCUAGCGGGAUGCUUUACACAUGCAAGUCGAACGGAGUGGGGGACGGGUGAGUAAUAUAUCGGAAAGUGCGAAGUAGCGGGAGAUAAAUAAUCAACAGAGUGUCUAAUACCGUAUACUAUUCAGGGGGCCGAUAUCAGAUUAGAUAGUUGGUGGGGUAAAGUCUCACAAAGGCAACGAUCCGUAGCGGGUUUGAGAGGACGACCAGCCACACGGGAACUGAGACACGGCCCAGACUCCUACGUGAGGCAGCAGUGGGGAAUUUUGGACAAUGGGGGAAAGCCUGAUCCAGCCAUCCCGCGUGUAUGAUGAAGGCCUUCGGAUUGUAAAGUACUGUUGGCAGAGAAGCGGUAUCUGCAGAAUAAGCACCGGCUAACUACGUGCCAGCAGCCGCGGUAAUAC
rnacentral:rRNA from 1 species